CUGUCGUUUCCAAGAUGCCGUGUGCGUCGUUAUGUGUUUGUCUCCGUUCAUGACGCUCGAAGCAUGGGACAAUCGUAAAUGUUCGCGUUUCCCGUUCCUACAGGGAUUUAUGUUCUCGUUGCCUCCGAUAUCAACUUUUUCUUGUUCGUCUGCAACGCUCGUUUAACACGUUGAUUGUCGCGUCAGUCAUAUAUAGGGUGUUUCCGAAAUCGUGAUAUAAUAUUUUUUGGUUAUAUUAGUUGUAGAAUCAAGUUUAUAAAUUUUUAACUUAUAUUUAAAUCUCUUAUAAAUAUUGCUUUUCUUUUUUAAUACUAUACAUUAAAAAGAUAAUAAGUGAAAUUAAUUUGAAAAAAAAUUAUCUGAUAUUUGUACGGAAUUAACUUAUCCAUUUAUGUGAAAGUGACAUAUACAUCAUGAAAGAAAGGGGAUUCAAUUUUUUUUAUCAAUGGAAAAUUUAUUUUACUUGUCUUAGAAUAGAUUUAGGAAAUGCAUUUCUCGCACAUGAUUCAUUAUCAAUUUAUGUUUCUUGAAAUAUAAAAAAUUAUAUAUAUAUAAAAAACUAAUUGUAUUUUUGCACUGUUCGUCGUUUGUUCAAUUUUUCAUUAUUUUCAAAUUUAGUCAUCAAAUUUGUUUCUACAAUUACAAUUGUGUAAUUUAUAUAUAUAUAUAUAUUUUUUAUUUUAUAACCAAAAUUAUUUCUUUGUUGUAGAAUUAAGAUAAUUUAGUGUAUCAAAGAAAAAUAAAAAGUUAAGUGAUUGUACUAUUAAUUUAACUACUUCUCAUGCAAUGAAUCAAUAUCACAGCAUAUUUUCUUUUCGUUUUUAUUUGCAUACAUAAAAUUGCAUUGCAUUUCGCUGGAGACUUGGAAAAAAAUAAGAAAAAUUACAGAUAUAACGCGACGAAAACGAAUUCAGAAGAAGACAGAUUCAAUGUUUUAUAAAUGACACUUGAAAGAUUGGCUGUACAAUUAUGUAAAUUGCUUGCAUGAAACAUAAUAUGAUUGACAGAAUUAAAACAAGCAAUUUUCAUUUUCUUCACUUCGAAUAUUCUAAGAUAUAAAGGAUAUUUACAAUUAAUGUUUUUCAAUUUCAUGAACGUUGAUAAAUUAUUCGAUGGUAGUAAAUAUCGUGACAGAGAUUGUCCAAUAUCCAAUUCCUGCACUGUUCGCGCCUAGAUUUGUUACGAGUUAUUAUUCACACAGUAUAUAUCAUGUCGAUAACCAUUUCAAUUAGCCAAUGAAAGCAUUUUCGAGGCAAUCUCAUAGCCAAGAUCUUGUUUCGCGAGACCACCUGGUAUGCAACAAGUCCGACAACUUGUAGACAGAGUCACGAGUGAAGAAUAUAUCGCCCUCUAUCUUGUUUGUAUACGAUCAUUAUGGAUUAUAUUGAUGUAUUCAGUACCUUUACGAAAGUCUUGCUCAAUGACAUUUGUUACAAAAGGCACACCCUCGAUCUUAAGUAUUAGGCAAUUUAUGGAGAAAUAGAAAAUUUGAUAUAUUAAAAAAUGAGACGAAGUUUACGACAAACUUUACCAAACUUCUAAAAUACAUACAAUUUUCUAAUAUGAAAUAUGAAAUUUACGAUUGAAAAGUAUUCAAAUAUUAUAUUUAAAUAUUUAUGAUAUUCUAUAAAUAUAAACGAGAAAUAUAAUAAUACUUGUUCUUACUUUGUGUAAGAAUACGAAAUUGAAAUCGUUAAUGAACAUGGCAAUAAUCGAUAAUAUUCUACGAAUUGAACGAAAUUAUGGCGAAAAUACACGUGAGAUAUCGUAAUUUUCCAUAUUCGGUAGCAAUGUAAAUGAUGUCUCGAUGAUAUUGAUAUUCUAUUGAUACUUUUAUCGAUGAACGUCUGUUACGUUUGAGAAUUCUUGUGGGAGGAUCCAAAGAUAUACAUUAUGGAUUCCAAAAUUGGCUUUGACAUAUAGACCAUAAAACACAGAGUUUACAAGCUUGAAAAUAGCCCGGGUUCCCGAGGUUAUUUGAAUACUUAAAAACCAAUCAAUUCUCUUUCUUUCCCUCUCUCUAAAUUUACAAGCCCAUAACUAAUAGAUUUCUUAACACUUAUGAAAAAAAGAUACAUAAUUCCUAUAUUUUCUCCUGUAUGAAGAGCAUCUAACUACGUGAUAAUACCUGUUACGUUUCGCACAAAUCAUGCAACAGAUGAUUUAUGAGCAACAAAUCCAUAAUAAGUAUAACACACGCUUAUGUGUAGAUUUAUAAAUACCAACAUCCACGCGUUUUUAUAAAUUCAACAUUAAUCAUGACAUUCGUGCAAUUUAUUACAAGUCGAUUGUUAAUCUUCGUAAGGAGCCUCCUCAAUUCACCAAUUUUUAGAAGAGUCAAGGUAUUUAAAAAAAACCGAUGGUUUUAAUUAUAAAAUAAUUUCCUUGAUCUCUAGCCAAAUGAUUAAUGAAUUUCUUCGUUUAAAUUAUUCGCUAUCCCGUUACUUUCGAUUUUCAAGUUGAUGUUGAUGUUUUACUUCUUCGUAUAUUCAUACGAUUAUAUAUGUAAAUGCUUUUUAACUUGACAAGUUAACAAGCAUUUAAAUAACUCUUCUUAAAUAUUCAUUAUUUUCAUUCAUUCGAAUUAUAUCAUUUUUAAAUAAAUAAUUCAUUUAACCUCGUGAAAAUUAUUAAUAUAGCUAACAAUUAAAACUGAAAUUGUAGAAUUAAAAGUAAUAAUUCAAUUCGUUUAAUUAGAAUCCGAGUCGACGCGAAAGAGAAUUUCUUCGUAAAAAUUUUAAUUAUAUUUUCCAGUGCACUUGCACGAUACCCGAGAUUUAUCCAUCGACCAAAAUCCGUAUCAAAAUUUUCUCUCCAACGCAACAACAACGCUUUUCUACGAAAGGAAAUUUCUUUCGUAAUUAAGAAACCGAGCCCCAUAAAUUUUCUCGGCCCAACGAGAGCACACGCAUCUUUUAUAGGCCUGGACGUGACAGAGGGAUCGAUGUACGAUUCCGGCCGGUUCUAUACAACGACAAAUCGCGUUCACGACUUCCGAUCUCGAUUCCAGCUCGAUUCGAUUACCCCUCCGUACCGGUGUCGAUAAUUAUAAACAAAAGGGGAAAAGGGGGACGGAAUGAUGGCGGAGGGGUCGCAGAGUGAGGAGGAGGAGAGAAAGAGGGAGCGAGAGAGAAGGCUUCUUGGAAAGGGCGUUUAUAAAUCACGAAUCGCAGGCAACCCCUAAUCUUCCACCCUGUUUCUCGAGCCUCGCUGUCUUCCUCGUGUAGUACUUUUCUUCCCCGCUCCACUCGUAUUUUGAUUUUGCACGCGAAACCACCAUCACUCCACCAUUCAUCAUCCGACGCAGAGCGGGCUUCUCUCUUUCUGUUUCCGCUUUUCCAGCCCCUUCUAUAUAUAUAUAUAUAUAUAUAUUAUUAUAUAUAUAUAUAUAUAUAUAUAUAUUAUUAUAUAUAUAUAAGCAAUCUCCCUCCAUGAACGUGGCCCGAUGAAAUUCGUCUCGAAUCACUGGACAAUUAACGUCAACGGCGAGCGGCGAGCGAGUGAAAUAAAGGAAGAGGAGAUUCGAGAAGGCGAUCACCUCCGGCCAGCGUGGAAUGAUAAUGGGAAUAAUAUCUUCAUGGUUCGCGAGCUACGGCCAAGUAUAACGGUCAACGAUUCCAUCCGUGCGUCCGUACGCGGAGGAACUGGCAAUGAUUCAUAAGAAUUGGAAUGGGGAAGGGUGAGCCGGAGGGGAGGCGUGGAUUAAUUGAUACCAAGAAUGGGAAUUAAGGCUGGAAUCGGCGAACGAGGAAGGCUUCGCGAUGCUGCUUGGGAGAAGAUUAAUCGCGCGCGAAGGUCUCGGAGAGGAGAUGGGGAAAGUUUGGAAAAUUGGAUAAUCCUUGUUGAUUUUGUAGGAAUCGAUAUUUUCACGAGAAUUUACGAGUCGUUGGUCAGAGAACGAGAACUUUAAUAAACCUAUAUUCGAUGCAUCGUGCAUAAGAGAACUUCGAACGUAUAAUAAAUCCUUGUUGAGACUUAUUGUUCCUUGGGGGCCCGACGCGAGGAAGAGAACAAGUAAAAGAAGAAAUCUUCAUAAUAGAGUAAAAUAAUCCUCGCCUUCCUACCAUUCUGCUCCACGCAUACAUGUGGUAUCUGGUAACCUAUUUGUUUCUCAUUAACGGACCUACAUUAAUCUUAGGACUCCUACGGAACCUUCGUGAACAAAUGUGAGAACAUCGAAGCUGCUUGUUACCCAAGGAUUCAUGGUGCUUCGACAGAACGGAGCUUCUAGAACUCUAUUUAAAUUCCUUUACAAUUCGUGUAACCGUGAUUAAGUGCAAGUUAUCUUGUAAUUGAUGAUUUUUGUGCAAAAGAAAAGUAAGUAAAAAAAAACUAAUUGGAUAAAGUCGUAAAUUUUAAUAAAGAAAUCUUUAUAUUUUUAAAUAUUAAAGUGUAUUACUGCCCACAAAAAGAUUUUGAAAUUCGUAACAAAAUUCUUCAGACAAGUUAAAAAGUAAGUUUUAAAAAUAAAAAUAUUUUUCAAUUUUUUUCUGUAUUAAGUAAAAUUUAAAGAGAGAGAGAGAAAAAGAGAGAAAGACUGAAUCACUGAAAAAUUAAAAAAAAGUUUUAAAAAUAUCAUCAAGUUACUUACAGCCACUUGAUGCACCUGCCAUCGUGAAUCAGCAACAGCAGCAAGAGCAGCCAAGCUUUAGCACUGCUUCUCUUUAUUAUCGUCAUCUUCAUGUCACUUUACAUUCUAGAAGAUCGGCAUUCUUCCUCGUCGUUGACGCAUAAGAACUUUUGUUUCAUGAAUUUUUCAAUGUUCGAGACUUUCUAUCUUCACACGCGAUAUCACGUUUUCUUCAGGCUCCACUGUGUUUCUCUCGAUGAUCGGUCGAUCGUUUCACGAACAAUCGCGGUGUCUUUGAUAUAUCCAUCAUCGAUGAAUUCUACAAAAUAUUCACACUACUUUUCCCAAUAUAUAUAUAUAUAAAAACCAAACUUUACAAUUUUUACAUUAUUCUCCUUCUCAAAGAGUAAAAAAAAUUCUAAAAUCAAAGAAUAAAAGAAUAAAAGAGAAACAAGAAAGAGGACAACCAAAAGAUACCGCUUUUACGAAGAUAAGAAUAUAUAAAUUUUACAUCGAAAGAUAUAACACUCUUUCAAUAAUUACAGUUGUCGACAGGAUGAUAAAGUAUCCUUAGAAAUCACACACGCGAAUUCCUCCUGCGAGCAUCGCCAAUUAUCGUCAAUUUUUCAAGAGUUCCUCAUCGAUGAAAACGUAUCGUGCACGACGUAUAUAUAUAUACAUAUGUAUAUAUACAUUGACUUGCUAAAAUAUAUUAAUCGUAAAGAAACGUCGUAGACAAGUAGUAAAAUGGAAUUAUCCCGGGCACAUCCACUGUCACAGGACGAUUGAUCGUGGUGGAUGAUCAAUCGAGGCAGCAGACCGGACGUCAACGCGCGGUAUCCUGAAUGAUCUGUGACCAAUAUGAGUUCCCUAUCGGGGAAGUUCCUUCGCACCGUCCCGUGCUGCAGGGAGUCUGCGUGGUUACAGGUGUCCGUCGAGCCGUCCCGCAGGAUUUGCCGGUCGUCGUGGAGGUGGAAUCCUCCUACUACUACUCUAUUUCCUCCUACUUCACCUACUCGUUUUUCGUUGGACGAGGAACCGGCCACAGGGAUGGCGAUCAGAGUGUGAACGCGAGCACACGAGUAAGGGAGGAGGCGAGAAACUGGUCAAAGAUCCGUGGCUACGAGCUGUUAGAGCCUCUGGUGAACGGAGAGGAUCGUACCUGCAAGGAGAGGAUCCACCGGUGUUCAUCGUAUUGAGCAAGGAGCAAAGUGAUAGCAUGCAUUAUCGACUAAAAAUAGUUUCGUUAAGUAGGAUGUAAAGAACAUUUUUUUUUUUCCGUGUAAAAUCUUAAAUUAGGAGUUUGUAGCAGUAAUUGUAAAUCAAUAGAGGAAAAUUGGAGGAUGAUUUUUUAGGAAUCAGUUGGAAAAGUGACAAUUUUGGAUUAUCUUUUAGAAAUGUUUAGCUUUACUGUAAAUAUGACAAAUAUAGUGAUAUGUUCUUUGCUGUAUUGUUUAAAUGAAGCAGAUGCAAGGGGAAGAUGAAAGUGUCAAGAAUUCAGGACAAGUAAUUCUCUAAUUAAGUAUUCUUACCGUAAUAUCGUCACUUACGUUUAUAGUUCUACUAAAAUUGCACAUAUGUAUUUCCCUUCUUAAACGUGAAAUGUAAAUAAUAAAACAAGGUUAAUUUAUGAAAAUCUGUAUUAUAAUAUAAUUUAAUCUUCGAUUAUUUAAUAAUUUAAUUUUCCAUUUUUCUGUUUAAUUCAAAAUAGGAUUUGAGAUUGUUCUAUUUUUAUUCGUAAUAUAUUUACUCUUUAUCCAAAGAAUGUGGUAAGCCGGGCAAACAGUUAACUAUUGAACCAAUUACGUGUACGAUUUGCCAAUUAGUUUCGAAGAGAAAGCGGGAUCGUAUAUUAUUCGAGAACUCGAAGUUACCAUUAGAAAUAUUACACAGAAAGUAUCUAGAAAGAGCCGGUUGUUUAUUCUCCACUAGUCGUUUGGUUUUAUCUCAAAUUUUUUGUUUUUCUCUAAUAUUUUGAUACUUUCGUUAAAUAAUUUUCUCAGUCCAACGUUGAAGAGAGAAAAACGAAAGAAAUACGGAAGAAUCUAUUACAAUGGACUUCAACUUUCAUUUCUCUCUUUUCCACUAAUAAAUUAUGCUCAACUUCGAUUUAUUCGUUUUGUUAUGCGCUAAUAAAGUAUAUUUUGUAAAUAUCAGAGAUUAAUGUCGUGAAAAUUCAUAUUUAUAUAAAUAUAUUUCCAUUUUAUUUUUAAUUACGUCAAUGGAUAGAAUUUACGUAAUGCGCCAACACAAAAUGCUUACCCAAAACUGUUUUGUAGCCUGUGCGGAUCGAGGAUUCGUAAUAUGGCGUAUAAAUCGUUACAAGAGCGUUAAUGGUAAUUAACAAAUGAGGCAAUUAAUACUAAUGACUGUUCAAUUUGUUGAUUACUUGAAGAGAUUGAACGCGUGCAAAACGUUCGUAUAAAACUUUAUUUCGAAAU